rnacentral:rRNA from 1 species
UACGUAGGGUGCAAACGUUGUCCGGAAUCACUGGGCGUAAAGGGCGUGUAGGCGGUCCGCUAAGUCUGAUGUGAAAGCCCGGGGCUCACCCCCGGAAGGGCAUUGGAAACUGACGGACUCGAGUCCCGAAGAGGAGGGUGGAAUUCCUGGUGUAGCGGUGAAAUGCGUAGAUAUCAGGAGGAACACCGGUGGCGAAGGCGGCCCUCUGGACGGUGACUGACGCUGAGACGCGAAAGCGUGGGGAGCAAACAGG